CCACUCCAUUGCCAACCAUCUGGACAUUUGAAUGAAUUUUUAGGAAGGUUUAUUUUUCCUGUUAUAUCUGAAAAAUGCGGCCUUGUAAGUGAGAGUUCACUCCAUUUCGAGGUUUCGGGAAUUCCACAUUG